GGCAAAAGAAUAUCUCUCUAAAAUCCCUACAAAGGCCGGCCACCAAAGAGGGUGAUUUAGCUAACAAUCUUUCACCCUUUUGGUUAUUCCUUCAUCCUUCUCACUACACUAGUGGGUGAGGAUCUUUAGAGGUUUCCUACUUUGGGAACUUGAAGAGAACCUAGGAGCACUCAUUGUAACAAAGUGGAGGAGGUAAGGAAGGAAGCUAGGCUCAAGGAGUUCAAGGAACAAAGGGCUUGGAGGUGGUCCAUCCUUGGUCUCAAGUCUAGAUCAAGAGGUAUAAGACUAAACCUUCACUUUGUUUUUUUUCUCUAAAAUUUUAUUUGAUGCAUUAUAUAUAAACCUAUGAACCUUAAAGGGGAUUUGCAUGACUAUAGCUUUGAUAAUAUGUUAUAAAUGCUUCCGCUGCUUUCGUAUAUCUAAUGUGUCCUUUUGGAUAUGCAUGAUAGUCAUUUAGAAAUCCCGUACAUGAAUCUCAUAGAUUUCCCUUCAAGUGGUAUCAGAGCCAAAGGUUUAUGUAUAAUGUGUCCUUUUGGAUUUAUGCAUAUGGGUAUUAAUGUUAUGUAUGACAUAUUAUUGUUUCAUUCAAAGUAUGUUUAUCUUUUGUUUUUCAAUAGUUGAAAAAUGUUAGUCAAAAGUUGAGAAAGAUAUGUAUGCAAAAGUGUUUUGUAUGCAUGAAUGAAAAAUGAGUUUAGAACUAGUAUGACAUAUUAUUUCUUCAUUUAAAAGUAUGUUUAUCUUUUGUUUUUCAAUGGUUGAAAAAUAUAAAUCAAGAGUUGAAAAGAUAUGCAUGUAAAAGUUGUUUUGUAUGCAUGAAUGAAGAAUAAGUCAUGAACAAAAUUUGGGGUUUUUUGUUCUUUGUGGUUGGCACGGUUUUGGGGGUGGUUUUGGGUUGUGUUUGUGUUUUAUUGUAAACCACUCACACAUCCUUUUAAAGCUUGAAAGAAGUGUUUUUGUCACUUUUGUUUUUGGGUUUGAAAAAUCACCAAGAAUACAAAAAUCUUGAAAAAGUGUUCAUGGUUUUGUUCUUGGUGUUCAUAGUUUGGUUUUUGGUGAAAAUGGUUUUAAUUAAUUUUCUUGUAUUAUUUUGUGGUUUUGGAUGAUGUUCUUACCAUCCAUAACCAUAUAAUAAGUUUAUUAAACCCUAGACUUGACUAGGAGAUUUCCAUCAAACCUUUUCACCUAAGUUUUAAUGCCAAAACCAAGUGACAAGCAAAAUUUUGUUUUUUUCUACUUUGCAUUGAAUUUAUGCAUGUGGGUGAGACUUCCCAUUCCCCCAUUAAGUGGCCGGCCUCCCCUAGUGGAUUUAUCCACUUGUGGGGCUUUUUUUUUUGUAAUCUUGAAAAAGAUAUUUUAUACUUUUGAGUAUUUACGGUUUGACCCUUAACUUUUUCAUAUUUGCAUUUAAGCCCCUACUAACUAGAAAGUUAAAAUAUUUGAUUUUAAUUUUGUUAGUUGUUUAAACUCAUAAUACUAUUAUGCCCAUAUGCACUAAAUCUAAAUGUUUAUGUUGCAUUCCAUUUAAUUAUUUAAAUGUGUUUAAGUAGUUAUGAAAUGGAUGACUUUGGACUUAUGCCUUAAACGAUAAUUGAGCUAUGAGAUAAGGCGCUAAAAUCAAAUUGUUUGAACCUUGGGAAUGUGUUUUAAUUACUGUUUAAUUGGACCUUGUCACAUUUGACGUUAAUCUUUCUCUCCCCUUUUAGUAUAUGUAAUUUAUAGGAAUUUGUACAAAUCGGUUUGUAAUUCU
rnacentral:lncRNA from 1 species